GACGAACGCUGGCGGCGUGCUUAACACAUGCAAGUCGUACGGUAAGGCCCUUUCGGGGGUACACGAGUGGCGCACGGGUGAGUAACACGUGAGUAACCUGCCCACAACUUUGGGAUAACGCUAGGAAACUGGUGCUAAUACUGGAUAUGUGCCCCUGCUGCAUGGUGGGGGUUGGAAAGCUCCGGCGGUUGUGGAUGGACUCGCGGCCUAUCAGCUUGUUGGUGGGGUAGUGGCCUACCAAGGCGGCGACGGGUAGCCGGCCUGAGAGGGUGACCGGCCACAUUGGGACUGAGAUACGGCCCAGACUCCUACGGGAGGCAGCAGUGGGGAAUAUUGCACAAUGGGCGCAAGCCUGAUGCAGCAACGCCGCGUGCGGGAUGACGGCCUUCGGGUUGUAAACCGCUUUCAGCAGGGACGAAGCUUUUUGUGACGGUACCUGCAGAAGAAGCACCGGCUAACUACGUG
rnacentral:rRNA from 1 species